UAUAGCAUUAUACAGCGAAACUGCGAAUGGCUCAUUAUAUAAGUUAUCGUUUAUUUGAUAGUACCUUACUACUUGGAUAACCGUGGUAAUUCUAGAGCUAAUACAUGCUAAAAAUCCCGACUUCGGAAGGGAUGUAUUUAUUAGAUUAAAAACCAAUGCCCUUCGGGGCUCACUGGUGAUUCAUGAUAACUCCUCGAAUCGCAUGGCCUUGUGCCGGCGAUGGUUCAUUCAAAUUUCUUCCCUAUCAACUUUCGAUGUUUGGGUAUUGGCCAAACAUGGUUGCAACGGGUAACGGAGGGUUAGGGCUCGACCCCGGAGAAGGAGCCUGAGAAACGGCUACUACAUCCAAGGAAGGCAGCAGGCGCGCAAAUUACCCAAUCCCGACACGGGGAGGUAGUGACAAUAAAUACUGAUACAGGGCUCUUUUGGGUCUUGUAAUUGGAAUGAGUACAAUUUAAAUCCCUUAACGAGGAACAAUUGGAGGGCAAGUCUGGUGCCAGCAGCCGCGGUAAUUCCAGCUCCAAUAGCGUAUAUUAAAGUUGUUGUGGUUAAAAAGCUCGUAGUUGAACCUUGGGCCUGGCUGGCCGGUCCGCCUCACCGCGUGUACUGGUCCGGCCGGGCCUUUCCCUCUGUGGAACCCCAUGCCCUUCACUGGGUGUGGCGGGGAAACAGGACUUUUACUGUGAAAAAAUUAGAGUGCUCCAGGCAGGCCUAUGCUCGAAUACAUUAGCAUGGAAUAAUAGAAUAGGACGUGUGGUUCUAUUUUGUUGGUUUCUAGGACCGCCGUAUGAUUAA
rnacentral:rRNA from 1 species